GUGCUUUCUUGUGCAGCACAUAUACUAAAAGUGGGAUGAUACAGAGAUUAGUUUGGCUCUGUGAAAAGCUGACACACAUAUUCAUGAAGUGUUCCAUAUCUUU
ensembl:snRNA U6 U6 spliceosomal RNA